rnacentral:rRNA from 1 species
AUUGAACGCUGGCGGCAUGCCUUACACAUGCAAGUCGAACGGCAGCACGGGUGCUUGCACCUGGUGGCGAGUGGCGAACGGGUGAGUAAUACAUCGGAACGUGCCCAGUCGUGGGGGAUAACGUAGCGAAAGCUACGCUAAUACCGCAUACGAUCUAAGGAUGAAAGCGGGGGAUCGCAAGACCUCGCGCGAUUGGAGCGGCCGAUGGCAGAUUAGGUAGUUGGUGGGGUAAAGGCUCACCAAGCCGACGAUCUGUAGCUGGUCUGAGAGGACGACCAGCCACACUGGGACUGAGACACGGCCCAGACUCCUACGGGAGGCAGCAGUGGGGAAUUUUGGACAAUGGGCGCAAGCCUGAUCCAGCCAUUCCGCGUGCAGGAUGAAGGCCCUCGGGUUGUAAACUGCUUUUGUACGGAACGAAGAGGCUCUGGUUAAUACCUGGGGCUCAUGACGGUACCGUAAGAAUAAGCACCGGCUAACUACGUGCCAGCCGCCGCAGUAA